GAACACACGCAAAUCGUGGGAGAAGGAGUCUUUUUGGAGACUCUGGAGACCGGCGGAUGGGUGAGUAACGCGUAGGCAACCUGCCCGGGAGACGGGGAUAACCCACCGAAAGGUGAGCUAAUACCCGAUGAUGCAGCGGCCCCGCAUGGGGACAGUUGUUAAAGGCCUUCGGGCGCUUUUGGAUGGGCCUGCGUGUCAUUAGCUGGUUGGUAGGGUAACGGCCUACCAAGGCGAUGAUGACUAGGGGGUCUGAGAGGAUGAUCCCCCACACUGGGACUGAGACACGGCCCAGACUCCUACGGGAGGCAGCAGUGAGGAAUCUUGCGCAAUGGGGGAAACCCUGACGCAGCCACGCCGC
rnacentral:rRNA from 1 species